UACGAAGGGGGCUAGCGUUGUUCGGAAUCACUGGGCGUAAAGCGCACAUAGGCGGGUCGUUAAGUCGGGGGUGAAAUGCCAAGGCUCAACCUUGGAACUGCCUUCGAUACUGGCGAUCUCGAGUCCGGGAGAGGUGAGUGGAACUCCGAGUGUAGAGGUGAAAUUCGUAGAUAUUCGGAAGAACACCAGUGGCGAAGGCGGCUCACUGGCCCGGUACUGACGCUGAGGUGCGAAAGCGUGGGGAGCAAACAGG
rnacentral:rRNA from 1 species